ensembl:snRNA RNA, U4atac small nuclear 11, pseudogene
ACCAUCCUUUUCUUGGGGUUGCGCUACUGCCCGAUGAGCGCUUGGCGAGGGUAGUACUGCUAACGCCUAACAACACGCCCGCGUCGGUAGGGCUCUGCUCUUCUCGGCGCAAUUUUUGGAAAA